rfam:Schistosoma curassoni strain Dakar, Senegal genome assembly, scaffold: SCTD_contig0000197
GCACUACUGAGGAGUCCCAUACUAGGACGAAACGGCCCUUCAAGUGU